AAUAUMGGUAGUAAUAAAUAAUGAAACCCAUAUACAUUGGCGGUCMCUAUUAAUUAGAGGAACUCGCUUUAUAAUCGACAAUACUCGUUAAAUUUAACUUAUCUUUUCAAAAUUUAUAUACCGCCGUUACAGAAUUUAUUAAUAAAUACAAAUCAAUAUAGUAUAAAGCUAAAAAAUCAGGUCARGGKGUAGUUAAUAGAUAARAAAAAGUAAGUUACAUUAAUAUAAAAUUAAGGAUAUUUUUAAAAAAUUAAAAUGGAAAGAGAAUCUAAAUAUACAAAUUACAUUAAAAUAUAAAUUAGAAUUACCAUUGUGACGCACACAUCGCG
rnacentral:rRNA from 1 species